rnacentral:rRNA from 1 species
AUUGAACGCUGGCGGCAGGCUUAACACAUGCAAGUCGAGCGGGGGAAGGUAGAUUGCUACCGGACCUAGCGGCGGACGGGUGAGUAAUGCUAAGGAAUCUGCCAAUUAGUGAGGGACAACAUCUCGACAGGGAUGCUAAUACCGCAUACGUCCUACGGUAGAAUGCAGGGGAUCUACGGACCUUGCGCUAAUAGAUGAGCAGAAGUCGGAUUAGCUAGUUGGUGGGGUAAAGGCCUACCAAGGCGACGAUCUGUAGCGGGUCUGAGAGGAUGAUCCGCCACACUGGGACUGAGACACGGCCCAGACUCCAACGGGAGGCAGCAGUGGGGAAUAUUGGACAAUGGGGGGAACCCUGAUCCAGCCAUGCCGCGUGUGUGAAGAAGGCCUUAUGGUUGUAAAGCACUUUAAGCGAGGAGGAGGCUACUCUAGUUAAUACCUAGGGAUAGUGGACGUUACUCGCAGAAUAAGCACCGGCUAACUCUGUGCCAGCAGCCGCCGUAA